UAUUUAGUUGAUUUUACUAGUAGUUAUAUAUUUAUUUUAAAAAUUAAGCUAUAUAUAUUUAAAUUUAAGUAAUUAAAUUGCGAAAUUGCGAAUAGUUUAUUAAAUUAAUUAUAGUUUAUUUAAUAGUAUUUUACUAUAUAGAUAACCGUAGUAAUUCUAGAGUUAAUAUAUAUUAAAAACCCCGACUUCGGAAGGGGUAUAUUUAUUAAAUUAAAAACUAAUGCCCUUCGGGGCUAAUUAGUAAUUUAUAAUAACUUUUCGAAUUAUAUAGCUUUAUACUAGCGAUAGUUUAUUUAAAUUUCUACCUUAUUAAUUUUUAACGGCUGGGUUUUGGCUAGCUAUAGUGAUAAUAGGUAAUAGAGGGUUAGGGUUCGACCUUAGAGAAGGAGUUUGAAAAACGGUUAUUAUAUUUAAAGAAGGUAAUAAGCGUGUAAAUUACUUAAUUCUAAUAUAGGGAGGUAGUAAUAAUAAAUAUUAAUAUAGGGCUCUUUUGGGUUUUAUAAUUAGAAUAAAUAUAAUUUAAAUCCCUUAAUGAAGAAUAAUUGGAGGGUAAGUUUAGUGCUAGUAGCUGUAGUAAUUCUAAUUCUAAUAGUAUAUAUUAAAGUUAUUGAAGUUAAAAAACUCGUAAUUAAACCUUAGGCUCGGCCCAUUGGUCCGCCUUACUAUAUAUACUAAUUAGGUCGGGCCUUUUUUUUUAGAGAACUGUAUGCCCUUUACUAGGUGUGUUAGGGAAUUAGGACUUUUACUAUAAAUAAAUUAAAUUAUUUAAAGAAGGUUUAUAUUUAAAUAUAUUAAUAUAGAAUAAUAGAAUAGGAUAUAUAGUUCUAUUUUAUUAGUUUCUAGGACUGCUAUAAUAAUUAAUAGGGAUAGUUAGGGGUAUUAGUAUUUAAUUAUUAGAGGUGAAAUUCUUGGAUUUAUUAAAGAUUAAUUAUUGUAAAAGUAUUUACUAAAAAUAUUUUUAUUAAUUAGGAAUAAAAGUUAAGGGAUCGAAGAUAAUUAAAUAUUAUUAUAAUUUUAAUUAUAAAUUAUACUAAUUAGGGAUUGGAUAGUAUUAUUUUUUAACCUAUUUAGCACUUUAUAAUAAAUUAAAAUAUUUAAGCUCUUAAGAGAGUAUAAUUGUAAGGUUGAAAUUUAAAGAAAUUAAUGGAAAGGUACUAUUAGGGGUGGAGCUUGCGGUUUAAUUUGACUCAAUACGGAGAAAUUUAUUAAGUCUAGAUACAAUGAGGAUUGAUAGAUUGAGAGCUCUUUUUUAAUUUUGUAGGUAGUAAUAUAUAACCGUUUUUAAUUAGUAGAGUAAUUUAUUUAUUUAAUUACAAUAACGAACGAGAUUUUAAUUUAUUAAAUAACUUAUAUUACUUUAGUAGUACGCUAGCUUUUUAGAGGGAUUAUUAAUUUAAACUAAUAGAAGUUUAAGGUAAUAAUAGGUUUAUAAUACCCUUAGAUAUUCUAGGCCGUAUAUACGCUAUAUUAAUAUAAUUAGCGAAUAUUCUUUUAGCUAGAAGGUCCGGGUAAUUUUAUUAAAUUGUAUUAUAUUGGGGAUAGAGUAUUAUAAUUAUUACUCUUCAAUAAGGAAUCCCUAAUAAGUAUAAGUUAUUAAUUUAUAUUAAUUAUAUUCUUACCCUUUAUAUAUACCGCCCAUCGCUACUACUAAUUAAAUAAUUUAAUAAAGCUUCCGGAUUAGUUUAGGGAGGUCGGUAACGAUUACUUAGGGCUAGAAAGCUAUUUAAAUUCGGUUAUUUAGAGGAAGUAAAAGUUAUAAUAAGGUCUCUAUUAGUAAAUUAGCGGAAGGAUUAUUA
rfam:Neurospora crassa OR74A unplaced genomic scaffold supercont12.8, whole genome shotgun sequence.